rnacentral:lncRNA from 1 species
GGCCUGGCGCGUCCGCCGAGCGCGGGGGUUUGUUUAUUUUCCCGGUUGGUAGCGGCGCUGGCGCUGGUUAGAGGUUCGCCGGUGACGUGAGCGCCCGAGUUGGGGGAGAGGACCAGAACCACCUGCUGGAGAAAGGGAGCUACGGGGGCCGGGCAGGGUCCAAACGCCUCACGUGGGCGGCGGCGCCACGGUCUUCGGGGUCACAGGGAAGAGAAGGGCUCUCCUCAAGCGGGUGGAAGGAGGGAGGCCUCCCGAGGGAAUGAGACUCCAGGCCACUCCCCCGCAGCAAGGCAGGAUCACCUGCGUCGCGGAGAGCAGUUAGAGGUCCCUGGAGUGGAAAAGGGCAGUGGGACCUGGUAGCUUGGGUUCCCUGCAACUUGGGGUUCGACCUCCAGGCAAUGAAGUAGGGAUGGUCCUGCAAGUCAAGAUUCCAGUAGCAAGAGUGCAUCAGAUCUCUGUAAGGAAAAUAACUAACAUUGCUCAGUUCCCUGUAGAGUUGCAGGGCGCUUUGACGUUAUCUCCCUUGGUUCUCCAUCAGGUCGUAGUGGACUAAUUUUACAGGCGAAGUUAAGUGACUUACCCAAAACCUCACAGCUAAUAAACGGCAGAGCCGGCACCCAGCUGUACUGGCUUCCAGCGCAUCCCAUUAUCUCCAUAAAUCCCCCUGAUUCAACUAAUAUUAGACGCCCCACAGGUAAGAUGCUUCAGAGUUAGAGGGGAGUUGAAGAUACCUUUGCCUUCAAAGAAGUAAGGAAUGAAACAAAGAUAAAACAGACAAUAAAAGACAAACCAUGAUAGGUGCCACGUGAAAAGUGGCAGAGUACUGCCGGGAAUCAAAGAACCGUGUAUAUCUGUCUUGGGGAUAAGGAAAGAAACGCAGCAUGAAGGAGUAGGCAUUUGGGAUUGACCUUGAAGGAGACAGGGAGAGUUUUACAGCAAGAAGGGAUAGCAUGAGAAUAUAUAUGAAGGCGAAUCAGUGAAAGUUGUGUUGGGGAAAGAGCAAAGACUCCAGGUAUGUUGAGAGGUAGAAAAGACAAAGGAGUAUGGGGCCUAAGAUACCAAAUGGAUGAAUUUAUAUUUAAUUCAGUAUUUUGAGUUUUUAUGGUUCAGAAGUUUGGGGGAAGAAAAGGAAGGUUUUUUUUUUCUUUAUGCUAGUGAUUUAUCUGUGAAGGGAAGCAGAAAUCAGAGGUGGAAAAACUGACAGAUCUACUGUAGGCCAGGUAAAAGGUAAUGAUGAGUCUGACCUAAAGGGACAGCCAGGGGAAUUUAAAGAGCAUAGUUGAGAGAUGAUGUGCAUGCAGAAUCUAUAGAAUUUGCUAACUGAUUGAUUAAUUGUGGGUAGGAAGAGAGAAAUCAAAGAAAGUGGAGGUUUUGAGUUUCUAGAUAAUUGCAAGAGAGAAAAGAGACAAUUACAAAGGAAAGGAGAAGGAGCUACUUCUUGAGAGAAGAUCAGUUUAGAUUUAGACAUUUUAAGAAUUCAAAGGGUUGUCAAGACAGCCAGACGGACAUGGACACUAAUAAGUUAGAAAUAAAGGUUUUGUAAUAUGGGAAAGAGGACUGAGCUAGAAAAUAGACUCAUAGAUAAUCAGCCUAGGAGUGAUAUUGCUGUGAGAUAAAAGAAGAAAACAAAGUCAGAAUCUUGGAAAACACCCUCUUCAGAGUCUCGCUGCUCAAAACGUGGUCAGUGGCCCAGCAGCACUGACAUGAGGACCUUAGUUGGAAACUCAGAAUCUCAGGCUCCACCCCAGACCUGCUGAACCAGCAUCUUCAACUUAACAAGAACCCGAAGAGAUUUGUGCCACAUCAAAAAGUUUGAGAAGCUCUGAUCUAGGUGAGCCAAGCCAGCAAAGAAAGGGGGUGGAGCAGAAAAUGGGAGGAGAAUAGGGUAAUGCAGAAUCAUCAAGACAAGGUAAAUUGGACUUUCACAAAAACGGGGCUGGAAGGAGUGUUGCUCAACAAUAUCCAAAACCACAGAGGUUGAAAAGCACAAGGAAAGAAGCUGGACCCUGGACACGGUGACUCUGAUUCAAUUAUGCAGAUGACCACAAGCCUCUGGGGUUGGCAGAGCCACAAGAAAGAAGGUGCCUGGAUGAAGGAGAGCUACCCACUGACCUGGACACCCAAUUAUGUCAUAGGUGCUGCAAUCUAGAGACAAAAUAUUCCUUACACUGCCAGAUACUUGCAAACUAAGGGGAACGAGCUUCCCUCUGAAUGUUUAUGAAGGAGAGACCACUGUGUCAUCUGUCUUAGAGCUAUUGGAAUCCUGGAUCAUUGUGGGAAAUGAAAAGAACUGGUUUUUAGCAAGGAGACCAAGAAACUCUACUCCCUAGGGGCUAGCAAUGAGAGAAAGGAAGCCUUGAGUCUUUGAGCACAGGGUGACAGUUUGGGUCCUAUGUGAGAUGAUCAAAUCCACAGCAACAGAGGAAAGGACAAAAGGAAAAGAUACUUCGAUGGAAUCAGCAGCCAUUGAUCCAAUGCCAACUCCAAGACUGGAACGUCGCAAUGAUAGUUCCAAGGCGGAAAUUUGAC